UGUUUUUGGAGAAGUGAGACUGAUAUUACUUAGUGUUGGAAAUCAGUGUUGUGGCUUCUAGAACUGUGGACCUAGAACCAAAGAAAGGGUUUUAUUCUAGCUGUGAUGGAAGCCUCCAUGGGAGGAGUUUGUUUGAGGCCUGGCAGAGCUCCUCUGUGGAGGAGCAUACAAGUUAUUUUACAGCUAAGAACCAGACCUGUGUGGAGGUCAAGUUUCUUUGGCUCAAUUAAAUCACACAGGACUAGAUUCUGGAAACAGUUGGAAUUGGAUCUAGUUGCACAUCCUGUUCUGUUCUUAGGGGUGUCCAUGGCAAAUUUUGUUGAAAGUCUGAGAAGGUGUGCUUAGCACUAAUACAAUACCCUGACGGAUCCCUGUUCAGGUGCAGAUUACCUGGGGGAAAGAGAACUGAGUUUUGAUCUGUUACAAAUUAGUAAUAUAAUAACAGUGAAAGAAAACCAAGAAGAUAUUAUAGGUGCUGAGGUGAAUCUGUGUUGGAAUCUUGAACAGAUCAUAUUCUUGUAUAAAUAUGCCUGUGGAGUAAACAGUUUUCCUUCUUAGGAAGCUUCCAACAUUUGGGAAAAGGAAUAUAGCUUCAGGGACUCUGCUCAUACAGGAGAUGGUAAGUGUGCUUGAUGAAUGGGGCUUGUGAAAUAUGAGUAUUAAAAACCACAAUAGUAAUUCACUUGAUGUAGUUUUAACCAGCGUCCCUUGCCUCUUCUCUUCUGAGAAUAAAAGCAGGUGCAAAGUGCUUUAGGUCCUGGCUGCUUUGAGUGCUCCAUGAACCUGCAGCAUUGGCAAUACAUUGGCACCACCUGGAAGUUGGUUGUAAAUAAUAGAUUCUAUUUUAUUCUACUGAACCAGAGUCUGCAUUUUAACAAAAUACCCAGGUAAUUUGUUUUCAUGUUAGAUGCUGAGAAGUCCUGCUUUGAAGUACAUUUGAAAUCUUUUUUGUCAUUCUACCAUGAGUCCACUAGAUGUCACUCUUGUAACCUGGUAAUGGGAUGGCAUUUUUUUUUCCAGUGGGGACUUGCAAGAAUCCCUGAACAUGAUCACAUUAUUAUUAGAUGAUUUCCUUCCCAUUCUUAGAGCUACUGAUAUACACAUUGAUUAUUUAAGGUAAAACUACCUUUAUCUAUCAUUCAAAAUCCUGGAGAGAGAUUCCUGGGAACGGUUUUCAUUUUGUGGAGUUGACACUCCUGCCUACUGUCUUCCUUGUUGCAUGGAUUAAUCUGUCAUUAUAUAAUCUUAACAGAGAAUGCGCUGCAGAUUCUCUGACUGGCUCCCUGAGAGAACAGCACCCUGGGCUGCUGAGCACAGCAACACAGAAUAAACGAACAGUUUUGAUCUUUGUAGAAAUCACUGCAAGCAGGAAGGAAGAAAGUCUGUAUCUUGAAAUUAGCAUCAGCUUCUAAGGUGUGAUUGUUGCAGGAAGUGCCGACCUUUCUGAGUUUGGGGUUGUUUCAAGUUAACAAGGACAGUAAAGAAGUCAUAAAGUAGCAGACAGAGUUUCACUUUAUUGCCC